CUCCCCCUUAGGUUUAGUGGAUCCUUUCCAGGAUGCAGGACCUGAGGGUCUAAAGGAUGGUCUAGAUAUGGUUUGUUUGUAAGAAAAUAUAUAAAUAAAUCUACCUCAUCCUGUCAGCUUAAGCUUUUAGGAUAAGUGAUGAUUUCAAUAUGGCAUUCAGGGGCCUAGCCCAACAUGGGGCCUCUAGGAGGCUGAAUUGUAGUAGAGGUGGGCCUAUUUAGCUGCUCGACAACUUUGUUCAAGCUUUUGGAUAACUUUAGUUGAGGAGACAAGAAGGGUAUCAUUGAACUUCUGAUUCUGCUCCUUAAGUAAACCAAGUCCCUUCUCCACUUCAGUGCCAAGCCUUCUAGCAGCUGCCUUGAGGUUCAAGUUCUCUUCAUAGGUAAUUUUCUCCACAUCCUUGACCUCUGAUUCCAAAUUGCUCACCUUUAGAUGUAGAUAGUCCACCUUUGUGUUGAUGGCACUGAGUUGGUAGUUGAUAUUGGUUAUCAUCUCUAUAAAAGUGCUGCUUUGUGGCGCAAUUGUAGACUCCCUCUGAGUAGCUGCAUUGAUCCUUGGAUCAUUUAGAACUCUUUCUGCCACUUUGAUGUACACCUUCUAAGUCAGAAUGUUCAGUACCUGCUGAAGAAAUUUCUGAGUGAAUCUUUUGAAAUUCUCAGCCAUCACCAAAUCCUCUGUUACCAGUGAAC
rnacentral:lncRNA from 1 species